GUUUAAAGACCAAUUCCCUCAGCACAUAAACUGAACAGCCAACAACUAGAACAGCCCAAGCAUAGUCCAGUCUUGGACCAAUUAUACAGUUGUAUUCAAAUUGAAACUAAAAUACAUUAAGCUAUUGUGUUUCAACAAUUUAGGCAUCAGUACAUGUAGUCCAAAUAGAUAAGGUUCAAGAAGCAAAAGGUAAGCAUUUCCAUUUGUAUUCCCACUUCAAAUCAUCACAAAUACAUCAGGAAAGAAAGCAAAUACCUAGAUUGGACAAAUAGAACAAAAGAAGGAAGAGCAGUUAGCAGCAGCAGAUAACACAGCAACACCAACAGAAAAUCACCAGCAGUAAUGGAAUAGUUAAAACAAAAACCAACACAGCAAUACCACUCUCCAAAUUUGAAAAACACUCAAACCGAAGACAACACUGAUUUGCAGAACCAAACAGUAAUACAGACACCCAAACAAAACAAACUAGCUCGGAUAAGUUCAGAAACAGAAUCAAUAGACUGCCAAAUAUAUUCAACAAUCGAAAGGGUUAAGAACCAGUGCUUGAAAUCCAAAAUCUUCCUAGAACUUAAUGGAACAGUACCCUUUCUUUUAAACUCUCUCUCAAAACUAAUUCAAGACCUAAAAAAACCAAAACCAAAAGAAGAACCUAAGAGAAUUGAUUGCUUCUUUCCUAAAACUUCUUAUAUUCUUUCAACUUUGACCUAUGAAAACUGAUUUCAAAAGCACACCCUUAACUCUGUCCUAAGCCCCUCCAUUUAUAUCCAAACGCUUUUACCAUUUUCAACCCUUCUUUUUCUUUUACAGUUGUAAAAGAAACCCUUUAAUUAUUACCCCAUGCUUCUUUUUACUUUUCAGCUUUAUAUAUUCUUCUACUAUGUGAACCUUUUUAGCAUUUUCAUUAUUAAUUGCUGUUUUUGAUUUCUAAAUUAGUAAAAAGCAUUCAACAGAUUAUUACUCCCACAACCCAUUAGAGCCCUACUUAUUACUUAGUGGCCCCCUAUUAAUAAAGCAUUAGUUUAAGGGUACAUCAGGACCCUACUCGACAGACUACCCAGUAAAACCCUAUUUUCAAACUUCCAGUCUAUCCAAAAUACCCUUGAGUAUUAGUUUAAGGGUACAUCAGGACCCUACUGGACAGACUACCCAGUAAACCCCAUUUUCAAACUUUUAGUCUAUCCAAAAUACCCUUGACAAACCCUGUGGUUUACCCUAGGACCCCCUAUUAUACCUCAUCAGCUAUAACCAAAUACACCUAACCAAGCUCAAUCAACAGCUUAAACUAGAACUCGUAUCAGAUAAAAAAUGGUAUCACAAAUGAAGGGAAUAAUCUAACCAUAUUGGGAACCAAUCAUGGUUAACUUAGACAAAAUGAAUGUGCCAGAAAAACACCAAUAUGAUGAAUAACAGGAACAAACUGAAACAGUAUGAUGCACAAACAGAACGAAGAGUGAGCUUAUCAUCAUUCUAAAUCAAACCUAUACAAAAAUGUAGGGUCACUUGACAGUGAACUAAACAAACUGAAACAGUAUGAUGCACAAAUAGAACAGGGACUGAGCUUAUCAUCAUUCUAAAUCAAACCCAUACAAAAAUGUAGGGUCACUUAACAGUGAAGUAAAUGCCUAAGAAUCGGCAGAUAACACAUUCUACAUCAAACCAUUCGACGAGAACAACAGAGCUACAAACAAGAAUGAAUUAAUCGACAAAACUAUUUAUAACCUAUGCUAUCAACUGUCACGAGAAAACUAGACCAAGUAAAAGGUCUGAUGGAGAGGAAGAAGAGCAAUAAACAAAAAAUGAAUUAUAAACCUAUUUUAGGCAAACUAAUAAUCCAUUGAACUAUUCUGCCGAACAUUGGAGUAGUAAUCUAACAAAAAUUAGAAAGAGAGGCGGAUUAAGAACCUAUAAUUAACUUAAGCUAAAACCUAAGAAAAGAUAAUUAAAACUUAACACAAACAAACGAACAUUAUAUAGAAAAAAGAAAAAGAAGAUAUUCAAGAAAACUUACUGAUCUUUUGGAUUCCAAACGACAUGCUCUUCAAAGUCGAUUUUCAGUUAGUAUUAUAUGCCUAUUUUGUCAGAAACAGGCCUAUAAUACUAACUAGAAACCAACUUGACCCUGAUGACUUCGAAGCAGUCUCGAACCCCUGAACCUUAGAUCCCUAGUUUGAUGAGCUUAACUCAGAUUUGGACCAAAUUGGUUAAGGAUUAGGGGAGAGGGUGGUCUGUGGAUAGCUGGUGUGAUUAUUGGGUGGAUUGGAGGACCUAGGGUUUUUGAUCGAAUCUUCGAUUAAAGAUUCGAGACAGCUCCUGAUGAUUCGAGUUUAACGGAGUACGUAUUUGGACUGAGGGGGGUCAGAUUUCAUGGCCGGCUGACUACCGGCCGCCGAGUUUCAGGCGAGAGGAUUCAGUGGUUGCCAGGGUUCUUAGAGAUACCAAAUGGUCUUUAGUCUCUGAUCUCAGAG
rnacentral:lncRNA from 1 species